UGCUAUACAUGCAAGUCGAGCGAACAGAUAAGGAGCUUGCUCCUUUGAAGUUAGCGGCGGACGGGUGAGUAACACGUGGGUAACCUACCUAUAAGACUGGGAUAACUUCGGGAAACCGGAGCUAAUACCGGAUAACAUUUAGAACCGCAUGGUUCUAAAGUGAAAGAUGGUUUUGCUAUCACUUAUAGAUGGACCCGCGCCGUAUUAGCUAGUUGGUAAGGUAACGGCUUACCAAGGCGACGAUACGUAGCCGACCUGAGAGGGUGAUCGGCCACACUGGAACUGAGACACGGUCCAGACUCCUACGGGAGGCAGCAGUAGGGAAUCUUCCGCAAUGGGCGAAAGCCUGACGGAGCAACGCCGCGUGAGUGAUGAAGGGUUUCGGCUCGUAAAACUCUGUUAUUAGGGAAGAACAAAUGUGUAAGUAACUGUGCACAUCUUGACGGUACCUAAUCAGAAAGCCACGGCUAACUACGUGCCAGCAGCCGCGGUAAUACGUAGGUGGCAAGCGUUAUCCGGAAUUAUUGGGCGUAAAGCGCGCGUAGGCGGUUUCUUAAGUCUGAUGUGAAAGCCCACGGCUCAACCGUGGAGGGUCAUUGGAAACUGGGAAACUUGAGUGCAGAAGAGGAAAGUGGAAUUCCAUGUGUAGCGGUGAAAUGCGCAGAGAUAUGGAGGAACACCAGUGGCGAAGGCGACUUUCUGGUCUGUAACUGACGCUGAUGUGCGAAAGCGUGGGGAUCAAACAGGAUUAGAUACCCUGGUAGUCCACGCCGUAACGAUGAGUGCUAAGUGUUAGGGGGUUUCCGCCCCUUAGUGCUGCAGCUAACGCAUUAAGCACUCCGCCUGGGGAGUACGACCGCAAGGUUGAAACUCAAAGGAAUUGACGGGAC
rnacentral:rRNA from 1 species